UACGUAGGGUGCAAGCGUUAAUCGGAAUUACUGGGCGUAAAGCGUGCGCAGGCGGUUUUGUAAGACCGAUGUGAAAUCCCCGGGCUUAACCUGGGAACUGCAUUGGUGACUGCAAGGCUUGAGUGUGUCAGAGGGAGGUGGAAUUCCGCGUGUAGCAGUGAAAUGCGUAGAUAUGCGGAGGAACACCGGUGGCGAAGGCGGCCCACUGGAUCGGUACUGACGCUGAGGUGCGAAAGCGUGGGGGAGCAAACAGG
rnacentral:rRNA from 1 species